GUUAUACCGUAUAAAAGUUAAACACAUCGUCUGACUCGCAUUCGCUAAUUGUGUCGACGACAGUCAUGAGGCCGCUAAUAGUGAUAGCUUUGCUCGUCCCGAUGUGUGCAGGUUUCCUUGUAUCUGAACAUUGUGACACGAUUUCCGACUGUAGAACAACUAACUGCUUCGGUUCGCAAUUAAGUUGUACCCAUAGCGACUGUAUAUGUAUCAGCGAUUCAACAAGCACAGGCUAUCUUUGCGUUGACCGAAUGGAUUGUUUCAGCAGCUGUACAUUUGGCAUCGACAGCACGCAUUGCGUCAAUGGACAUUGUCAUUGUACUCGUUAAGGCUGAGGGCAAGAAACUCGUAUGGAUGAUGAUAGAGCGAACGAAGAUAACUUCCUAUCGUUAAAAAUCUGAUAAAUUGUAAUAUUUCAAUAAUAAAAAUCCGACUGUCAUUAAUA